GGCUGGUCCGAUGGUAGUGGGUUAUCAGAACUUAUUAACAUUAAUGUCACUAAAGUUGGUAUUCAACCCCCCACUGCUAAAUUUGACUGGCUUAAA
rnacentral:Y_RNA from 1 species